GGGUUGCACCAGAAGUAGAUAGCUUAACCGCAAGGGGGGCGUUUACCACGGUGUGGUCCAUGACUGGGGUGAAGUCGUAACAAGGUAACCGUAGGGGAACCUGCGGUUGGAUCACCUCCUUACGAAG
rnacentral:rRNA from 1 species